rnacentral:rRNA from 1 species
UUGGAGGGCAAGUCUGGUGCCAGCAGCCGCGGUAAUACCAGCUCCAAUAGCGUAUAUUAAAGUUGUUGCAGUUAAAAAGCUCGUAGUUGAAUUUCGAGAUCAAAUUGUUGGUCGUGCCUCGGUACGUACUGGCAUUAUUGAUUUCUCCUUUCUGAAGAACCUUGAUGUCAUUAAUUUGGUGUCUUGGGGAAUCAGGACCGUUACUUUGAAAAAAUUAGAGUGUUUAAAGCAGGCUCACGCUUGAAUACAUUAGCAUGGAAUAAUGAAAUAGGACGUUUGAUUCUAUUUUGUUGGUUUCUAGGAUCGACGUAAUGAUUAAUAGGGAUAGUUGGGGGCAUUAGUAUUCAAUUGUCAGAGGUGAAAUUCUUGGAUUUAUUGAAGACUAACUACUGCGAAAGCAUUUGCCAAGGAUGUUUUCAUUAAUCAAGAACGAAAGUUAGGGGAUCGAAGACGAUCAGAUACCGUCGUAGUCUUAACCAUAAACUAUGCCGACUAGGGAUCGGAUGAUGUUAAUUUUUUAAUGACUCAUUCGGCGCCUUACGGGAAAC